GAUUCACAUUUUCUCCCUCCCCUUCUUCCUCCCCCCCUCCCAGAGCUGACAAGCAAUUCCACUGUGUUUAUACAUUGUUAGGAUAAGAAUUUAAAUGAGCUAAUUAACCUAGUGAGAAGUAAGGAUUUAGUCUAGAGAGUUUUAAAUUCUACCUCGGCUCCUUUAAGCAGAGAAGGAAAGAGUGAUCUGUGGGUGACUUAAAGAGAAUUUCCUGAUAGGAAAGUCGGCUGAGAGAACCGGGGUCUCUCUGGAGCUUCCUCGCUUGGAGCAGGUGACCGGGGAGUUGGCUCUGAUAAAUCUGUGAAGAAUUUUCUUAAGAGUUAUUUUUGGAGAAGUCAAGAAACAUCUUUUCAGCUAGAGAAGACUGGGCCAAGUGAGCGCUUUUUCUCAGAGAGGGAAAGCUACCGAAGAGGGCGCUGUCUCCUCUCGCUGGAGCUGCCGCGUCAAUUUCAGGCACCGGCUGCGAGGAGAGACAGAUCAUAAACUGCCAUCAAUUGAAAAUUCGUUGGACGCAGCUGAUUAUCCCUAACUUAUGUGCUCCAUCACUCUGCUCAGAAUUCUAAAGGAAAUCAUUUAAGAACGGCUCUUGGAAAGAACACUGGUGGAAAGAGAUAGAGAUUCACUACGCAAAGCUUUGGGGAUCUGCUGCUGGCCAAGUGUGAAUGAGGGACCCAUGUACUACUGUUCAAUGAUGCAAAGUCCUCUAAAUGGCUGUUGAGCCAGAACUUGGUGGAGAUCCCCUGUUGCUCUUUGCCUUUGUGGCUGUGAGUAAGGCAGGAUGACUUGGAGCAGCCUGGAGGGGCAAAGGAGUUUCUCAUUCAAAAAUGAUUCUGAGCAUGCAGCUAGCCCAGCUUGCCUUUCGAUUUAUUCUUCCUGAUCUUAGGGAGCUUCUUGCCUUUGCUGAGCACCCCCGACUACCUUGUUUCUCCUCAGAGCAUCUGCGAGCUUCAGCGCAGCUGGCUUUGGGUGCAGGGCCCAUCGGAUCGGCUUAAGCCAGGAAACAGAUGCAUCCUCUCGUUCUUUUUUCUAUUUAGUUUUUUUCUUUGGUUUCGCCACAGGCCAGAUCUCUGUCUCGAUCAGCUCGGAGGAAAAAAGUAAUUACCGACGUAUUAGAGUUAUUAUUAUUUCCUGAUAUUGAGGCUAGGCAUCUAGUGCUUUGGCUGGGUCUCGAUGGGACUUGGCUUCCUGGAAAGGAAAAAAAUGCAGGGGGAAAAGCCAUCGGGUCUACGCAGUCAAAAAUAAAAUCAAGUAGAAGACUUCCUGGAGACGUUUG
rnacentral:lncRNA from 1 species